rnacentral:rRNA from 1 species
UACGGGGGGGGCAAGCGUUGUUCGGAAUUACUGGGCGUAAAGGGCUCGUAGGCGGCCAACUAAGUCGGACGUGAAAGCCCCCGGCUCAACUGGGGAGGGUCACUCGAUACUGAUCGACUUGAAGGCAGGAGAGGGAAGCGGAAUUCCCGGUGUAGUGGUGAAAUGCGUAGAUAUCGGGAGGAACACCAGUGGCGAAGGCGGCUUCCUGGCCUGCUCUUGACGCUGAGGCGCGAAAGCUAGGGUAGCAAACGGG